rnacentral:rRNA from 1 species
GAUGAACGCUGGCGGCGUGCCUAAUACAUGCAAGUCGAGCGAACAGACGAGGAGCUUGCUCCUCUGACGUUAGCGGCGGACGGGUGAGUAACACGUGGAUAACCUACCUAUAAGACUGGGAUAACUUCGGGAAACCGGAGCUAAUACCGGAUAAUAUAUUGAACCGCAUGGUUCAAUAGUGAAAGACGGUUUUGCUGUCACUUAUAGAUGGAUCCGCGCCGCAUUAGCUAGUUGGUAAGGUAACGGCUUACCAAGGCAACGAUGCGUAGCCGACCUGCGAGGGUGAUCGGCCACACUGGAACUGAGACACGGUCCAGACUCCUACGGGAGGCAGCAGUAGGGAAUCUUCCGCAAAGGGCGAAAGCCUGACGGAGCAACGCCGCGUGAGUGAUGAAGGUCUUCGGAUCGUAAAACUCUGUUAUUAGGGAAGAACAAAUGUGUAAGUAACUAUGCACGUCUUGACGGUACCUAAUCAGAAAGCCACGGCUAACUACGUG